UCUCUUUUUUUCUUUUUGCAGAUAAAUACAUACACGUAUGUACGAACGCGCGUACGCACUAUAUUCUUUUUGAAUAUACAUACAUACAUACAUACAUACAUAAGCGCAAACCUUUUCGUUCUUUUUCCUUCUUGCUUUCUUCAUUUUUGUUCUUAUUUUCUUUUUGUUUUAGUGAGUCAUGUGAAUGCGUGCAUAGGAAUGUGUGUACGAGUCGUGUAAAUAUGUCGUACCUUGGUCGUACCUUUGUCGCUUUUCUACGAAUUUUCUUGAAUUUUUCACUUCUCAUGUCCCCUCUUCCUUCGUCCCCCCGGGAAUCUACGAAAAGGAAAAACGUUGCUUAUGUAGGCUUACGAAUGCAUGUCCUUUUUCGGUACACGUAUAGGUACGAACUGUAACAGCUGACUGAUCACAUUCGGAAUCAACAAGUACUCCUCUGUAUUCGAUCAAGCCACUGUCGAAUUUAACCCUUAAAAGAACUAUCGUCCAAGGGAAUUUAUCAACGGGUGAAAUUUCAAUUCAUGUAUAAUUUUGUUCCAUCUCAGAAAUCAACGAAAUACGUACAGGUGAAAUAUAGAAAAAUAAUAAGCGAUGUUACGCGACACGGCAACGUUCAAAAUAAUAUUCGCAGAGGAUGAUAGUGUUUAAGGGUUAAUGGGUGAGAGAACGUUUCUUCGCGCUAUACCUAGACUGUCGAUAAAUCACAUCAGUGACAAUUAUAAUUUACGAGGAUGAGACUCAAAGACGUUUGCAGCGGCUACGUUUCUUCAUCAUUUGAUAAAUUAUGGUAGUAUCGUUGUGAUAUUCUAGUUGCUUGGCUGCAAAGUAUGCCGACCGAGUGAACGUCCCAGUAUAACAUAAGACGUUUUAAGCUCGUUUCUAAGUACGUUAUCCUGUGAAUUUUAGAACUUCCUGUAAUCUUCGCGAUCUACGAAGGCGAAGAUAAACGAUAGAAACGACGUUCUAUAAUUUAUUUUACGUUUACUUUUCUCUCUCUCUCUCUCUCUCUCUCCCUCCCUCUCUCUCUUUCUCUUUCAAGCGCAACUACGUAGUUUUAGGAAUGUUUUUAGAAAUGUUACGACCUCCUCAAAAUUAUCCGUUUUUCUUUUUUUUCUUUCUUAAGUGUGUGAUACUGCCACGAUCUAUUAGCGUUUAAAAUUCUACGGAAACGUGUGUGGAAAAAAAGAAAUGAAGAAAGGAUCUUUAUCGUUCCUCUUGUAUAUCAAAAGAUGCGCUAACCCAAGCGUGUAACACUUUUCGCUGGAAACUUUGACAACUUGGAAAUUUCUUUUAUUUAUUUCCCAUAUCGCCGGUCACUGCCUUUCUUUAUAUUCGUUCUUUUUGUCCAUUCUCUCUUUCUCUUUCUCUCUCUCUCUCUCUCUCUCUCUCUCUCUCUCUCUCAGUCUCUCCUGCUUUUGUCCCCCUCACGAUCUCGUUGUCUGCAAAACACAUUCUCUUUCUCGCCUGAUUUUUCAUCCUUCGUUUGUUUGUCAAUGUGUACCUAGAAUUAAAAAUUAAUGGAAUUGUGUAUUCUCAGUAUCCAAACAAGGGCGGCGAAUACUGCAUACUUAUAUAUAUAUACAUAUAUAUAUAAUGUGUACUUCCUAGGUAGAGAGUAUUCAUAGAAUAUUUAUUCGCUGAAAUAAAUGGUUUUUCGAUGAAAGGUGUAUCGAUUUAUCCCAUUUUUUUUUUUUUUUUUGUUUUCUUUCGAGAUAUUCUUUCUGUUCUUAAACGUUUCGUUCGUUAUUUUCCCCGUUGCGUUCUCUUUUUCCUUCUGUGAAUCGCUUGGAAAGUGAUCUGGGAAUUUUAGAAAGCGACAGAUAUUUUUUCGUUGUUUUUCGCUGUUUGUAACGAUGAUGAUUUCGUUAUUUGUAACGUUUCUCUCUCUCUCUCUCUCUCUCUCUCUUUCUCUCUCUCUAAUCAUUUACAACCGUUACCACUCACCAUGAUAAACUUUCGGGCCACGAUUAUUGUUUCAUACUUAUUUUUGUUUGUCGACUGAACCUACGUUUGUUAUACAAUCUUGCGGACGUUUUUUUAACAACGGAAAGAUUGAAGCUACGUCAUGCUAUGUCACAUGUGUGAUUUCUGAAUGGUAAACGUGUUCGUGUAAGAAAAAGCGCACGAGCCCAAAAUUGUACGAUCGAACGUGCGCACACAUAUGCAAGAUGGAUAAUUCGUUUGUAUCCGCUAUCUUUUUUUCUUGUAUUUUUCCUUUUCUUCCUUUUUUUCGAGGCGAGUAAAUGCUCAUUCGAUAUCAAUAUUUUUCUUUUCUUUUUUUUCUUUAACUUUUAAUUUUUAUCUCCGGUCAAAGUCAAACAAGCGAGAAGUAUCUUUUGUCCGUUAUGUUCGUUUAGAGAAUUUUUCGCUCGAACAGGUCUUUUCCUUCUUUUUGUUAUUACGCGGAUGUGUGCCGCAAUAUAAUAUUUGAUUACGAUUAUGUAAGUAUGUAUUGACGAUCGUAAAAUUAUAGGUACGUCUUAAUCUAAUUGAUUAUUAUAAAAUACGAGCGAAGUCGCUUGUUCUCGGCUAGGAAUUGUCAUUAUUUAAUAUGCAUUGCCAGCCUCCAGGAUCCCUCCCGCGAUUUGGCAAGAUCGUUUCAAUUAUAAAAUUACAAUAAUUUUAUCCUUUAUAUUUCAUAGGUAUAUUAGGUAUAGCUACGUAUGAUAAAAUGUUACGACGUGAUUAAAUUGCUUUUUGAAAGCCAAUAUGCAAUAAUAAAGCUUAUGUUUGUAAUCGUCA